GCAGCUGAUAAAUAUUUUUCCUUCCCCUGAUUGUGAUCAGAGGCUGACACGUUCUGAACCUACUGGCCCGCUGGCAGCUUUUGUGCUUACCACAGAUCUGUGCUGAAAAAGGCCUGUCCUUGCCUGGGGACUUGCCUGAGCAGAGCACAGAGCUGGCUGGAGUCUGCAGGAGUAUCUGUCGGGGCAGGGACAGGAGCCCACUGCACCGGGGUCCUUGCAGCAGUGUAAUACUUCAUCCUUGCUGUGCCUUCUGACACCCUCCUCCUACAGUUUGCACUCAGAAUAAUCCGGUUGUCCUGUGAUUUUCGUCUUUCAAAUGAUAACCAGGAGGCUGAAGCUACAGCUCUUUGCAAAAUAGAGACUCAGUUCAGCACUGAAAAUGAAGUUGAAGAGGAUGCAAAAAGAAGCUGCCAUCAUGUGAAUGGGAAGCAGCUGGCUGAGAAACAGGACGCCUGGGAAGGCUGAGCUGAAAGUGCCUGUGCACAAGAUGACAGACUGAUUUGCUCUGGGAGGCAAGGGAUUCAGAAACCCCCUCCUCCAAAGGAUUUUGCUGAGCGAGAGGAGAGGAAUAGGAGCCAGUACACAAAAGAGCAAUGGGAAUUGAGGGCCAUGGUUACUUGAGAUAAAUGGCAGAUCCCUGGGUGUCUAGCCUUGUAGCUGUUCGCUUUAGCUUUGUCUCUCUCUGCAGCUACUGCUUCUUUUUUGCGAGCUGCUGCUGGGUGCUGCCGCGGUGGCGCUGGAGAUUUCAAGGGCGACGUGGGAGCAGAGCGUGAGGAGGGGGUGGGCAGCCCGCCUCACCAUGAUUCAGCUGUGGAAAGUAGUGCGGCACGUGCGACAGCUGGAGCUCCACAGGUUGAUCCUGCUGCUCAUUGCCUUCAGCCUGAUCUCCAUGUGCAUCCUGGCUUACUACGUCACUAACAGCCCCAAAAUCAAGGAGCCACCUCCCCUGCCCUUCAGUGACUGCAGCAACCAGCACCGCAUCUUGAUCCCACCGCAAGCCAGCUGGAGGCUUACAAAGACUGUGGACACCUCACGCACGGAUCCUGUGGUGCUAGUCUUUGUGGAAAGCAUUUACUCCCAGCUGGGGCAGGAAAUUGUGGCCAUCCUAGAAUCUAGCCGGUUUAAAUACAGGACAGAGAUUGCCCCUGGCAAGGGGGAUAUGCCCACCCUGACAGACAAAGACAGGGGACGCUACGCUCUUAUUAUCUACGAGAAUAUCCUUAAAUAUGUGAACCUAGAUGCCUGGAACCGAGAGCUGCUGGACAAAUACUGCGUAGAGUAUGGAGUGGGGAUUAUAGGCUUUUUCAAAGCCAACGAGAACAGCCUACUCAGUGCGCAGCUCAAGGGUUUCCCCCUUUUCCUCCAUUCCAACUUAGGGCUGCGGGACUAUCACAUCAAUCCCAGUGCUCCCCUGCUCUAUGUCACGCGAGCUAAUGAGGUGGAGCAGGGUCCCCUGCCCGGUGACGACUGGACUGUGUUCCAGUCGAACCACAGCACGUAUGAGCCAGUGCUGUUGGCCAGCACGAAGUCCUCAGAGUCCAUUCCUCACCUGGCUACCCACAAAGCAUUGCAUGCCACCGUGAUGCAGGACCUGGGUCUGCAUGAUGGGAUCCAGCGAGUUCUUUUUGGCAAUAACCUCAAUUUUUGGCUGCACAAACUCAUUUUCGUGGAUGCUAUUGCCUACCUGACCGGCAAGCGCCUUUGUCUCACACUUGAUCGCUAUAUCCUCGUCGACAUCGAUGAUAUAUUUGUGGGCAAAGAGGGCACUCGCAUGAAGGUGUCUGAUGUAGAGGCUUUACUGAGCACCCAGAAUAAGCUGAGAACUUUAGUCCCAAUUUUCACCUUCAACCUGGGCUUCUCAGGGAAAUUCUACCACACAGGUACAGAUGAGGAAGAUGAAGGGGAUGACAUGCUGCUCAAACACAGGAAAGAGUUCUGGUGGUUCCCUCACAUGUGGAGUCAUAUGCAACCUCAUCUUUUCCACAAUGUCACUGUGCUGGCUGAGCAGAUGAAGCUCAACAAGCAGUUUGCUGUGGAGCAUGGGAUUCCCACAGACUUGGGCUAUGCUGUAGCUCCUCAUCAUUCUGGGGUGUAUCCUGUCCACACGCAACUCUAUGAAGCUUGGAAAUCCGUGUGGAGCAUCCAGGUAACAAGCACAGAGGAAUACCCACACCUGCGACCUGCUCGCUACCGCCGUGGAUUCAUCCAUAAUGGAAUUAUGGUUUUGCCUCGACAGACUUGUGGUCUUUUUACUCACACCAUCUUCUACAAUGAAUAUCCCGGUGGCUCAAAGGAGUUGGACAAAAGCAUUCGUGGUGGUGAACUUUUCCUGACGGUGCUCCUGAACCCAAUCAGCAUCUUCAUGACCCACCUGUCUAAUUAUGGAAAUGACCGUCUGGGACUGUACACUUUUGAGAGCCUGGUCAAGUUUGUGCAGUGUUGGACCAACCUUCGCCUGCAAACGCUGCCCCCUGUCCAACUCGCAAAAAAGUAUUUUGAAAUCUUUCCCCAGGAGAAGAAUCCCUUGUGGCAGAAUCCAUGUGACGAUAAGAGGCACAAGGAUAUCUGGUCCAAAGAGAAAACAUGUGAUCGGCUCCCCAAGUUCCUCAUCGUGGGACCUCAGAAAACUGGCACAACAGCUGUGCACUUCUUCUUGACCAUGCAUCCAGCUGUCACCAGUAACUUUCUGAGUCCAUCCACCUUUGAGGAGAUCCAGUUUUUUAAUGGGCCCAACUAUCAUAAAGGAAUUGAUUGGUACAUGGAAUUCUUCCCCAUCCCCUCCAACGCCAGCACAGACUUCAUGUUUGAGAAGAGUGCCAAUUACUUUGACACAGAGGUGGUACCAAAACGUGGUGCAGCCCUGCUUCCUCGAGCCAAAAUCAUUACUGUUCUGAUCAACCCUGCUGACCGAGCCUACUCGUGGUACCAGCACCAGCGUGCUCACAGUGACCCUGUGGCGCUCAAUUACACCUUCUACCAGGUGAUCUCUGCAAAAUCCCAGGCCCCUCAGGAACUGCGCAACCUGCAAAGCCGAUGCCUCCUCCCUGGCUGGUAUUCAACUCAUCUGGAGCGCUGGCUAACAUACUACCCUUCUGGGCAGAUUCUCAUAGUGGAUGGUCAGGAGCUGAGACACAACCCUGUCUCUGUAAUGGACAACAUCCAGAAAUUCUUGGGUGUUACACCACUCUUCAACUACACCCAAGCCCUCCGAUUUGAUGAAGCAAAAGGAUUUUGGUGCCAGCUGCUAGAUGGAGGAAAGACUAAAUGCCUAGGAAAGAGUAAAGGAAGAAAAUACCCUGAUAUGGACAUCUCGUCACGGCUGUUCCUAAGAGACUUCUAUCGGGAGCACAACAUUGAAUUAUCCAAGCUGAUGAACAGACUUGGACAACCCCUUCCAACCUGGCUCCGAGAGGAACUGCAGAAUUCCAGCUGGAGCUGAGAGGAACUCCCUUGCCCCCCAGUGCCACUGGGACAUGUGGUGCUCUAACGUGUGCUACAAUGCCAUCUCUUGUCAAGCCAAAACAACUGGACAAACGAGCAGGAGCAGAGAACAUACAUGCAUGUUGAGCUCUUCCCCACCUUUGGGAAGGACUGCUGUCCCUGACACCGUCCUGGGGCGGGGAGUGCAAAUCACAUCCUUGAGUAUUAAUGGUUUGUUACACUUGGACUCUUACUUACAGGGAGGAUUUGUAAUGCCUGCGCCCUUUGAGCAGGAGGCUAGAGCAUGGUUAACGUGUUUUGUUUAAAGUGCUCAGUGUAUGAAACAGGCACUAGCUGGAGGGUUAGUGUCUUAUUCCUCUGAGUCCACUGAAAAAGAAUUAAGAGGUGAGCCCACUGCUGAGAAAAGCACAGCAGCUUAAUGAAAGAGGAAUCUAGUCCAGUGAACCCCAGCUUUACAUAGUAGUUUAAUUUGGCAACAACAGAUGGAAGAAAGUCACCUGCCUCCCCCUGCAGAGUGCAGUGGUGGUGAGCACUAGUUACAGUGCCAUGGUGUGUGGCUCCUGGGGACUGCACCAGCCAUCAGCCCUGCUUGCAGGCAGAUGUAACAGAUUGCCUCUCCUGGUCUGCAGCAUUGCUGGUGUGAUAUGGUGUCCAGUGAGCUUGGUCAAGGGGCAGAGGGACAUGAAGCAGAGCCACAGCUACUGCCACAGAAAACACGUUUGUUAGCUUAGGGAAAAGGUUGUCAUAUGUGGCAACGUGGCUGGGUAACAGGUAUUUCUCUGCAGGGAUUUUUAACCAUUUCAAAAGCUAGAGACCUAAGCAGUGCCAUUGUCCCCUUAGAGUGCUUCCAGGAUGUGUUGGUGCAGCACAGCAGCUGGGGGAGGCGAAAGCUCAGGUACUGUAAAAUAAAGCUGAUGUAGGUGAAGGCAGAGAGGUCAGUUCCCCAUGUCAAAUCAGCUUCAAAAAUUGCAACAUUUUUCUCUUUCCCACAGCUCGAGGGCCCCUACCAAGUAUGCUGAUAACUAGCAUCUGUUUAAUUCCCCUGCAGUCCAACAAUCCAAGGAGAAAGGCAGAACCCAGGUAAAAAAAGCCAUUGGACUAUAUACAUCAACCUCAGCAAAGAAAGCGCGGCACAUGAAACUGAAAGUUCUGCACCUUCAAGAUCUCUGGAAUUCAAGCAGGACGAUGAUUAAAAGUAGGCUGCCACCUCUUCCUACUGGGUGCAGGAAGUACAAGGCUAUGCUAGCAACUGCUAUGAUUUCUCAACUAUAGAGUAAAGACAUUUUACGGGAACGGGGAGAAUUUAUCUGUAAACAGCAGCAAGGACCAUCUCUACAUUAAACCUUAUACCCGAAAACUGAAAUUUUCAAUUGAUGACAGCACUGCAAAGACACUUUCCUGGCCGAAACCUGCAGAUACUGGAAGUCAGGAAGAAACAAAACAUUUUUAUGUUAAUCUAACAAAGAACCUGAUCUAAUAAACUAGUCCUGUUAUUUACCGUACUUCACACUCAGCUGGCAAAAGAAUACUUUGAUUUCAUGCUAGGCAAAGUCCCUGUAUCAUUUUCCUGGUCGUUUUGCUGUAUUAGCAGUAAGAGGGCAAGAAAAUGAAUGGCAAAUAGAACUGAACAUGCCAAAUGCAUCUUCUUGUUUAGCCCUUUGCUGCAUCCUGAGUGUCUCCUGGCUGACACUGUGUAGCUGUGAGUAAGCCACCAAGUCAGUGGAAGCUAACACACGUGUUUUCAGCAGGCUGCCCCACUCCCUUCACUCAGUAGGACGUGGAUUGAGUACUGCUGCCUCCCUUCCCAGUUACUAGGACUUCAUUUACAAUGUUUCUUUCUCUUUUUUUUCUUAGCUUGUAGAAGACAAAAAAGUAAAUGCAGAGUUAAGAUUAGACAUUAGCUCUCACCUCUGAAAAAUGCUUAACAAGCUGGUUUUGCUACAAUACAUGUACAAUGUAGUUGAGUACUCACAACACAUUCAUCUCCACUACUUUUGAAGACCAUGUAGAAAUAGAUUUAAUCUGUUUCAGCCCGGAAGAGUGGGCUUUUCUUCCAAGACUCCAGUCCCCGCCCUGCUCAUCCUUCCAGGUUUAUCAGCUUCUCCAGGCUCUCUUCUCUGCUUGUGGAACAGCACUUCUCUAAUUUUGUGACACCUCUCCAGCAGCCUGAAAUCCAGCUCAAGUCUACAUCUCUUAUGGUAAACAGUGGACUAUAAAUUGGAAUACUCCCAAAGGCCUGCAACUAUAAAGCCAUCGGAAAAAAAACGUGCUUUUCAGGAUGUGUAACAACCCUAUCUUGCCACUGAAGCCCUGCACAACUGUAGCCACCA